rnacentral:tRNA from 1 species
UAUGUAUUAUUUAAGAUUUUGAAAAUCUAAAAAGGUUUAAACACCAUACAUAU